AUUGAACGCUGGCGGCAUGCCUUACACAUGCAAGUCGAACGGCAGCACGGGAGCAAUCCUGGUGGCGAGUGGCGAACGGGUGAGUAAUAUAUCGGAACGUGCCCAGUCGUGGGGGAUAACGCAGCGAAAGCUGUGCUAAUACCGCAUACGAUCUAAGGAUGAAAGCGGGGGAUCGCAAGACCUCGCGCGAUUGGAGCGGCCGAUAUCAGAUUAGCUAGUUGGUGGGGUAAAGGCCCACCAAGGCGACGAUCUGUAGCUGGUCUGAGAGGACGACCAGCCACACUGGAACUGAGACGCGGUCCAGACUCCUACGGGAGGCAGCAGUGGGGAAUUUUGGACAAUGGGCGCAAGCCUGAUCCAGCAAUGCAGCGUGCAGGAUGAAGGCCUUCGGGUUGUAAACUGCUUUUGUACGGAACGAAACGGCCCUUUCUAAUACAGGGGGCUAAUGACGGUACCGUAAGGAUAAGCACCGGCUAACUACGUGCCAGCAGCCGCCGUAA
rnacentral:rRNA from 1 species